rnacentral:rRNA from 1 species
GACGAACGCGGCGGCGUGCCUAAUACAUGCAAGUCGAACGAGAGCGACUGGUGCUUGCACUGGUCAAUCUAGUGGCGAACGGGUGAGUAACACGUGGGUAACCUGCCCAUCAGAGGGGGAUAACAUCCGGAAACGGAUGCUAAAACCGCAUAGGUCUUCGAGCCGCAUGGCUUGAAGAGGAAAAGAGGCGCAAGCUUCUGCUGAUGGAUGGACCCGCGGUGCAUUAGCUAGUUGGUGAGGUAACGGCUCACCAAGGCCGUGAUGCAUAGCCGACCUGAGAGGGUGAUCGGCCACAUUGGGACUGAGACACGGCCCAAACUCCUACGGGAGGCAGCAGUAGGGAAUCUUCCGCAAUGGACGCAAGUCUGACGGAGCAACGCCGCGUGAGUGAAGAAGGUUUUCGGAUCGUAAAACUCUGUUGUUAGAGAAGAACAAGUGCUAGAGUAACUGUUAGCGCC